rnacentral:lncRNA from 1 species
UUUUUUUUUAAUCCAUGAUCGAACUUUUUGAAAAUUUGUUAAUUUUUUUUUUAAUCCAUGAUCGAAUUUUUUGAAAAUUUGCUGUACUUUAUUUAUUUAUUUCUAUUUAUCCAUGAUCGAAUUUUUUGAAAAAUGAUGAUUUUCCGAAAAAAUGUGAAAAUCGUGAUAAAGUUUUGAUUAUCAUGAUGUAUUAAACCCAAUUUUUAAUUUUUAUUGUUUGAGUUUGCUGUAAUUUUUUUUUUUUUUUCAUGAUCGAAUUUUUUGAAAAAUGAUGAUUUUCCGAAAAGAUGUGAAAAUCGUGACAAGGUUUUAAUUAUCAUGAGGUAUUAAACUGUAUUUUAAAUUUUUAUUGUUAAAGUUUUUGUUGAAAAAAUUGUAUGUUGAUGGAUUAUUUAUGCAAAAAAAUGCAUGUUAUUAUAUUUUUAAUACAAAACUGUAUUUUUUUUAUCUGUUGUUCAUGGAUUUUUUAGUUGAAAUGACUGAUGUUAGCUGGCUCUUUGAAGAAUUGUUUUUAUUAUUAAUUUUUUAAUGCAAAAAAUGUAUGUUCUUGAUAAUUGAGUUGUAGCCAUGUUUGGAGCUUGCAUUUUGUAUUAUAUUAUUCUGAAUGUUUGUAAUUGAUAUGUACGAAAAUAUUAUUGUCAAAAAAGGUAUUUUGCAAUAACAAAUAACAACGAAUAUGACUACAUGAACUACCGCAACAUAUUAUCACUACACAUGGUGAUUAUUUUUCUUUUUGAACUGUCAGGUUAAUUUUAUACUUUUUACAUCUUAAAACAGUUGAAUCAUGUCAAGAUCUGCAGAAGACCCUGCAUGGCAACAUGGAAUCAAACUUGAUCCCAAC